AUGCCUUUAACAGAUUCACAACCUCCUCUUCUUUCGUCUGUAAAUCCUUCCCCUUUUCUUCUCUGCGCCUCAAACCACUGUAAGUUUUUCGAACACCACCGAUCCGACCAUCGUGUCCUCCAAUCACUCUUCUUCGACGCACUUCUGUUUCGAAGCUAUGUCUCACUUCGAAGUUCAUUAUUUCGGGAUUCCAAACAAAAACAAUAA